UGUUUUCUUCUUCAAGCUGAUAGAGGAGAUCGAGAUGAGCAGAGAAGUUAGGGUUUGUGUCAGAAAUUGAAGAAUCAGAGUAUGGGUUUCGAAAUCAUGAAUCCUAAUCUAAAUUUCCGAUUCUAACUCAGAGAAAGAAAGAUGUUGGUUAUGAACCCUUGAGUUGGCCAAUUCCAGUUGGGAUUUGAGAAUAAUCGAAAAGGGGAUUUUUGGUGUUUCUUGUUUUGAGAUUUAAGCCUGAACCUAUUACCAGCCAGCACCUACGUAGUGCUUUCGUUGCACAUAAUUGGUCCGGAAGAUAAAAAGGAAAAAUUGCAUGCAGUGAUGACUACCUUUUCAUCAACCAAAUGGUUCUAAUAAAGCUCAGAACUGCAAAUUCCAAAGAACAGACUUCAUAGGCACAAAUGGAGGCACAAGACGUAGUUGGACUACUGAAAGUCUCACAUACGCAAUGACAUUGACAUGAGAUGGUGGCUAAGUUUUCAAAAAGUUCGAAGGCACACAACUUCGGUGGUACUCUAUCAUGCUCAGAGCCUGAUAUGAGAACUGGGGUCGAGGCUGCUGAGUAUGCGGCUGAGAUACAAAGGUUGGUUCGCUAUUUAAGAGUGGGUAAUGGAAAUACGCAUGAAGGUUCACUGCGGUGUGAUGUGAAUGUAUCGGUCCGGCCUAUAUGGCAGGCAGAGUUUAGAACGAAGAGCUUGGUCGAAAUAAAGAACAUGAAAUCAUUUUCAGCCAUGCACAAGGCUGCAUGAAUCUAGUAAAUUAAGCACUACGUUUUUUUGUUGCAUUCAUAUCCUGUUUAAUAUAUCGGAUAUGCAUAAUCUUGUAUAGCUUUCGAAGAAGCAGAACUUCCCCUACUGAAGGCAGAGAAACCAGGUCUCACUCACACUCAGUACAAAGACUUGAUAUGGAAGGGGCAUGGAAGAAGUCGCCAGACAAUCCUCUUAACCAGAUUGCUGAGUGAUCGCACUGGGCACAUGCCAACGUUUUCCCUCUAUUUGUUGUCUUCACAAGGGACAGAAUACUGUUAAGUUACUUGGGAUUCUCUCUAUCUAGGAAUCGGGACUUUAUAUUUCCAGUUAAUCCAUAAUUUUAAGUCCUAAGAGGAAAAUAGUUAGAAAGAGUGAAGAGAAGUAGAAUGAAAUAUUAUGCAUAAAUUCUUAGUGCUUGGCUGUUUCAAAUGGAAUUAAAGAAUGAAGUGUUGCCUGCGGUAUGUCUAGUAAUUUAGAUAUGUUCUUUGGCAUUGGUGUGGUGAUGUUUCGUGGUUUUCUAACAACCUUGUAUCAUGAUUCAUGAAGAUCAAUUUCCAAUUCUAGUCCAUAUCAUUGCAGAGAUGUUAUUUUCCUUGUCCAUAUGCAUAAUCUUGGCUGAUCAAAUUGAAUUGCAUAAAUGCUUACAAAUUUCUUAGACUGACCGACCUUGUGUCCACUGUUCAGAAAACGGCGACCAUGAGGAAAAAAGAGGGACUUGCGGACUAUCGAUAUUUCCCUGAACCAUACCUUCCAGAAGUGGUUCUCACGGAGGAUUAUGUCGAAAAUAUUCGUGCAUCUUUACCUGAACUCCCAGAAAUGAAGCGCUGGAGAUUUGAGAAUAUGGGCUUCUCAGCAUGCAGGAUUAUUCGUGCAUCUCUUUUACAAAAAAAAUUCCUUUACAAAUUUGAAUCACUGCAAUCACGCAGUGGUGUCGUUUCGUGAAGUUAUUCUGUCGGCCCUUUCACCGUGACAACGAUUUUACUAGUAAAGAAAUUAACUGAUUGAUUGAAGUUCUUGAGAUCAAUAAUAAAAUCAAUCAGAUAGAUUGAAUGAAGAUCAAUGAGACUAAAAUCAUCCGAGAACACUCAAAUCAAUCACAAUUUCACAAUUUU